ACCGUGCUAAGGUAGCGUGAUAAUUUGCCCUUUAAUUGUGGGCUUGUACGAAUGGGUUAACGAAAGUUUAGCUGUCUCUAUAAUUUUAAUAGAAAUUAAUAUUUAGGUGAAAAGGCCUGAAUUUUUUCACAAGACAAAAAGACCCCAUAGAGCUUAGGUUGUAUUUUAAAUGUUUGUUAAGCUUGGUUUUAGUUUUUACGUUUUUUUAAUAGCAAACUUAACUGGGGUGGUUAGGGAAAAUUUUUAUCUUCUCUUAUAAUUUAAUACUAAUAAAGUUUUUGAUCCUUUAAAAGAUAAAAGAAAUAGCUACCUUGGGGGUAACAGACUAAUUUUUUUUGAGAGUUCGUAUUGACAAAAAAGUUUGGCACCUCGAUGUUGGCUUAGGA
rnacentral:rRNA from 1 species